GACGAACGCUGGCGGCGUGCUUAACACAUGCAAGUCGAACGGAAAGGCCCUGCUUUUGUGGGGCGCUCGAGUGGCGAACGGGUGAGUAACACGUGAGUAACCUGCCCUUGACUUUGGGAUAACUUUAGGAAACUGGGGCUAAUACCGGAUAGGAGCUCCUGCUGCAUGGUGGGGGUUGGAAAGUUUCGGCGGUUGGGGAUGGACUCGCGGCUUAUCCGCUUGUUGGUGAGGUAGUGGCUUACCAAGGCUUUGACGGGUAGCCGGCCUGAGAGGGUUACCGGCCACAUUGGGACUGAGAGACGGCCCAGACUCCUACGGGAGGCAACAGUGGGGAAUAUUGCGCAGUGGGGGGAAGCCUGAUACAGCGGCGCCGCGUGCGGAAUGACGGCCUUCGGGUUGUGAACCGCUUUCGCAUGUGACGAAGCGUGAGUGACGGUAAUGGGUAAAGAAGCACCGGCUAACUACGUG
rnacentral:rRNA from 1 species